rnacentral:ribozyme from 1 species
GUUUUUCGUUUUUUCUUUUUUUUUUGUUGUGCAUCGUUCGAACGCAUAUUUGCAGGAGCUUCAGAAAACAGGGAGUCCAGGACUGGCUACAGAACAGAACAGA